rnacentral:rRNA from 1 species
UAACGCGUGAGUAACCUGCCUUUCAGAGGGGGAUAACGUUCUGAAAAGAACGCUAAUACCGCAUAAGAUUGUAGUUUCGCAUGGAGCAGCAAUCAAAGGAGCAAUCCGCUGAAAGAUGGACUCGCGUCCGAUUAGAUAGUUGGCGGGGUAACGGCCCACCAAGUCGACGAUCGGUAGCCGGACUGAGAGGUUGAUCGGCCACAUUGGGACUGAGACACGGCCCAGACUCCUACGGGAGGCAGCAGUGAGGGAUAUUGGGCAAUGGGGGAAACCCUGACCCAGCAACGCCGCGUGAGGGAUGACGGUUUUCGGAUUGUAAACCUCUGUCCUCUGUGAAGAUAGUGACGGUAGCAGAGGAGGAAGCUCCGGCUAACUACGUGCCAGCAGCCGCGGUAAUACGUAGGGAGCAAGCGUUGUCCGGAUUUACUGGGUGUAAAGGGUGCGUAGGCGGAUUGGCAAGUCAGAAGUGAAAUCCAUGGGCUUAACCCAUGAACUGCUUUUGAAACUGUUAGUCUUGAGUGAAGUAGAGGUGGGCGGAAUUCCCGGUGUAGCGGUGAAAUGCGUAGAGAUCGGGAGAAACACCAGUGGCGAAGGCGGCCUACUGGGCUUUAACUGACGCUGAGGCACGAAAGUGUGGGUAGCAAACAGGAUUAGAUACCCUGGUAGUCCACACUGUAAACGAUGAUUACUAGGUGU